rnacentral:rRNA from 1 species
GCCCCAGUAACGGCGAGUGAAGCGGCAACAGCUCAAAUUUGAAAUCUGGCCCCCCCCCGGGGGGCCCGAGUUGUAAUUUGCAGAGGAUGCUUUGGGCGAGGCGCCUUCCGAGUUCCCUGGAACGGGACGCCACAGAGGGUGAGAGCCCCGUCUGGUCGGACGCCGAGCCUCUGUAAAGCUCCUUCGACGAGUCGAGUAGUUUGGGAAUGCUGCUCAAAAUGGGAGGUAUAUGUCUUCUAAAGCUAAAUACCGGCCAGAGACCGAUAGCGCACAAGUAGAGUGAUCGAAAGAUGAAAAGCACCUUGAAAAGGGGGUUAAACAGUACGUGAAAUUGUUGAAAGGGAAGCGCUCGUGACCAGACUUGGGGCGGGCGGAUCAGCCGGCGUUCUCGCCGGCGCACUCCGCCCGUCCCAGGCCAGCAUCAGUUCGCGCCGGGGGACAAAGGCGGCGGGAACGUGGCUCCCCAGGGAGUGUUAUAGCCCGCCGCGCCAUGCCCCGGGGGCGGACUGAGGGCCGCGCAUCACUGCAAGGAUGCUGGCGUAAUGGUCACCAGCGACCCGUCUUGAAACACGGGCCAAGGAGUCGUCCUCGUAUGCGAGUGUUCGGGUGUCAAACCCCUACGCGGAAUGAAAGUGAACGUGGGUGAGAGCUUCGGCGCAUCAUCGACCGAUCCUGAUGUUCUCGGAUGGAUUUGAGUAGGAGCAUACGGGGCCGGACCCGAAAGAAGGUGAACUAUGCCUGUGUAGGGUGAAGCCAGAGGAAACUCUGGUGGAGGCUCGCAGCGGUUCUGACGUGCAAAUCGAUCGUCAAACAUGGGCAUGGGGGCGAAAGA